rnacentral:tRNA from 1 species
GGAGCUGUGGCUCACUGAUAGAGCAUUUGCUUAAUAUGUAGAAGGUUCCAGGUUCAAUCACCAGCAUCUCCA